GACGAACGCUGGCGGCGUGCUUAACACAUGCAAGUCGAACGGAAAGGCCCUGCUUUUGUGGGGUGCUCGAAUGGCGAACGGGUGAGUAACACGUGAGUAACCUGCCCUUGACUUUGGGAUAACUUCAGGAAACUGGGGCUAAUACCGGAUAGGAGCUCCUGCUGCAUGGUGGGGGUUGGAAAGUUUCGGCGGUUGGGGAUGGACUCGCGGCUUAUCAGCUUGUUGGUGGGGUAGUGGCUUACCAAGGCUUUGACGGGUAGCCGGCCUGAGAGGGUGACCGGCCACAUUGGGACUGAGAUACGGCACAGACUCCUACGGGAGGCAGCAGUGGGGAAUAUUGCACAAUGGGCGGAAGCCUGAUGCGGCAACGCCGCGUGCGGGAUGACGGCCUUCGGGUUGUAAACCGCUUUCGCCUGUGACGAAGCGUGAGUGACGGUAAUGGGUAAAGAAGCACCGGCUAACUACGUG
rnacentral:rRNA from 1 species